UGAGGAAUAUUGGUCAAUGGGCGGGAGCCUGAACCAGCCAAGUAGCGUGAAGGAUGACGGCCCUACGGGUUGUAAACUUCUUUUAUAAGGGAAUAAAGUUCGCCACGUGUGGUGUUUUGUAUGUACCUUAUGAAUAAGCAUCGGCUAAUUCCGUGCCAGCAGCCGCGGUAAUACGGAAGAUGCGAGCGUUAUCCGGAUUUAUUGGGUUUAAAGGGAGCGUAGGCGGGCUUUUAAGUCAGCGGUCAAAUGCCACGGCUCAACCGUGGCCAGCCGUUGAAACUGCAAGCCUUGAGUCUGCACAGGGCACAUGGAAUUCGUGGUGUAGCGGUGAAAUGCUUAGAUAUCACGAAGAACUCCGAUCGCGAAGGCAUUGUGCCGGGGCAGCACUGACGCUGAGGCUCGAAAGUGCGGGUAUCAAACA
rnacentral:rRNA from 1 species